rnacentral:rRNA from 1 species
AUACGGAGGAUCCGAGCGUUAUCCGGAUUUAUUGGGUUUAAAGGGAGCGUAGGCGGACUAUUAAGUCAGCUGUGAAAGUUUGCGGCUCAACCGUAAAAUUGCAGUUGAUACUGGUCGUCUUGAGUGCAGUAGAGGUAGGCGGAAUUCGUGGUGUAGCGGUGAAAUGCUUAGAUAUCACGAAGAACUCCGAUUGCGAAGGCAGCUUACUGGACUGUAACUGACGCUGAUGCUCGAAAGUGUGGGUAUCAAACAGGAUUAGAUACCCUGGUAGUCCACACAGUAAACGAUGAAUACUCGCUGUUUGCGAUAUACGGCAAGCGGCCAAGCGAAAGCAUUAAGUAUUCCACCUGGGGAGUACGCCGGCAACGGUGAAACUCAAAUGAAUUGACGGGG